rnacentral:rRNA from 1 species
GUUCCUACGGGACGCAGCAGUGAGAAAUAUUGGUCAAUGGCCGCAGGGCUGAACCAGCCAAGUCGCGUGAGGGAUGACGGUCCUAUGGAUUGUAACCUCUUUUGUCAGGGAGCAAAGGGCGCCACGUGUGGCGCUUUGCGAGUACCUGAAGAAAAAGCAUCGGCUAACUCCGUGCCAGCAGCCGCGGUAAUACGGAGGAUGCGAGCGUUAUCCGGAUUUACUGGGUGUAAAGGGAGCGUAGACGGCAUGGCAAGUCUGAUGUGAAAACCCGGGGCUCAACCCCGGGACUGCAUUGGAAACUGUCA